AACGGGAAAGCCGAAAACCGUAUACGAACAGAGUAGGUA
rnacentral:ncRNA from 1 species